CACUCACAUAACAUCUGUGAUGUCGCAAUAUCAGAACUUUAUGCAUAAACAUAAUUCCGUCCAUUGCGAUAUAACUUUGAAUACAGCGAGCGAGGUAUUUGAAUAUGGUAAUCAUGAAAACAUUUGCGAUGGCAACAAAGCAACAAAUGAUAGCCCCAUUGGGUCAAUUGAAUUUACAAAUCUUAAUGUUAGCAAUGCGUUGGAACCAGUUAUUUAUACAACUGGUUCUGAACAUGGUAACCAAGAAGCCACCCAUGGUGCAAGCGAAGCUAUUAAUGUUAGCUCUCUUGCCCCUAACGAACAGACUAAUCUUAGUGAGACCGAACGGUUAAAAUCCAAUAAUAAAAUACUAAAUGUUGAGCAAACCUCAAUGCAAGGACAUACGUUAACUUACGCAGAUAUAGUGUCAUCUUGUGAGACUGUUACAAGCAAUAAACACAAAUCUAUCUCCCAAAAAUCAUCAUGCAAAACCAAGGAGAUGUCUUGCGAUCCCGACGGCUUUAUUGGUGUGGAACGCAAGCGAAGAAAAACAAAGAAAUUCUUUCUAACUGGCAUCGCAGAAAAUGUGAAUGAAAACCAGAUCCUUUCUUAUCUAAAAAAGAAAAACAUAAUUCCAACAUAUAUAUCUAUCUUCCCCAGUCGUCGCAGAGGAGUACUCUCAUCGAAGAUUCAUG